rnacentral:tRNA from 1 species
GAACGUAUGGCUUAGUGGUUAGAAUGUUUGGACUGUUUCCAAGAGGCGCGUGUUCAAAUCUCGCUACGUUAA